GCAUCACCUGGGAGCCAGUUAGAAACAGAGUCUCAGGCCCCACCCCAGAGCUACCAAUCAGAAUCUGCAUCUUAACAAGAUUCCCAGAUGAUUUAUAUGCAUGUUUAUGUUUAAGAAGCAAUGGUCUAAGGAAUCCGCCUGAGAUUCUUUUUGCAGCAAUACAACUCACCAUCUCCUGUUCCAAAGCUGUAUCUAUCCAUUUUCUACUUUCAGUCUCUACACAGAUUUCUCUGCAGUGCUCCAGAGCAAACCAUCUCUAUUUUGGAUAUGUUCCCAACCAAGCUGCAAGCAAAGAAUGGAAAUUUCCAAUUGCAGCAUCAAGGGCUGCUGUUCUGCUGACUGUCUUGCUCAGCCAGGGUCAUCUGCUUCUCCAAGACAUCAAGGAAUGCCAAGGGGAUUCUACAUGACUAUAAGGAGCAAGAGCUACCUAUGUUUACUCUCUUCUUACUGACAACCCAUGAUACCAGGAAAAGAACAGUUAAGGAUUUCUGACAUCCACUGUUGCUAUUUAUACUUAUUAUUUAUUGAGGCAAGUUUGGUAGUAAUGAAGAUAUUCCAGCAAUUAAAAAAAAGUUAUCAACAUAUGACUGAACCCACCAUGGCUACUUGCCUAAGCCCAAGCUAAUCUGCUGGAGAAUGAGCGAUCACGUGGAGUAGAGAUGAACCGUCCUGGCUGAGGCCAUCCCUGACCAGCCAUCCCAGGGCUAACAUACAAUGUUAGCUCACAAGAGCAUGAGCAAGCCCACCAAGAUCAGCUGGCCCCAACCUGGAUUAGUAAAAACACUCAACCAACUCACGGUCUCAUAAGAAAUGGUGGGCAUGCAUCACUGCUUGGGGAAUGACUCCAGCACUGCUCUGCCAUGUGACUGCUGUUUUGACUCUUCACCUGUGGCAAGCAGGAUGGUUUAGGAGAUCUAUCCAUGCUGGCCUCCUCCAAAGGAAUAAUUUGCAAUACUUAAGCAAAUUAGCACUUUGAAAAAGACAUGUCCAUAAUGCCGGUAAGCCUGGCUGGAUAACCGUGUGCAUUAUUUUAAAGGACUGCUACUGGUCACUCACUGAUGGCUUUGGAAGUCCCCAUGGAGUUACCCAGGUAUAUGGAUUAUUUACAAAACCAACAAUGUACUUGGCCAUAAAGGAUGGAAGCUCUUGUGGUACAGGGUACAGAAGAAAGGUGCUGGAACUAGACGCUCUGUUCUACAGUUUGCUGGCAGAGUGACCUUGGGCAAGUUACUUAACCUUCUCUGGGUUUUGUUUCUUUAUCUAUAGAGUUGGGAUCAUAAUAGCUAGAAAUUUUAUCUUUUAUAAUUAUUAUUAUCUCUCCCCGCCUGGCAUUUUCCAGCAUGAUGUCCAUUUACCUACACAAAGCUGCUGGCGCCGCAUGUCACUGACUAAGUGGAGGCGCCAGGCCAUCAGAUGGUCGUCACUACUUCCCAGUGGGAGGGUCAGCGGCAGGAAUAGAAGGUUAACAUUUCUCAGAUUGGCCUCAACUGAACAGUGAACACAACGCUGUCUCGCACAGAAUUCAAGAGCACCGAAAGAAUGUUAAAUGGAUGAAUUGUUACUUGCAGGAAAAGAAACAGGAACCAUGUUUCCAAUUAUUCUUCGUUUCAGACAACAACUAGCUGUUUCCGCUGGCUGGCACAGUAGCUGAAUGGGAAACACUAUUGAGUAAACUCUGCUGAAAAAAAGGAUGACUGUGGGCCAGUGAAUUUUUUGACACGGUCCCAGCCUUAUUUUUGCUUAUUGCUGGCAAGCUAAUAUGAGGGACAUUAAAAAACAAUUGACAAAAACUUUGUAAAUAAGGUUUGAAGGCCAAGAAGUCUCCAUAGGCCCCCAACAUAUAAACUUUUUUGUACCAACAAGGGUCAUCUGUGACAUAAGACGGAGCCUCUAAAUUUAGCUGUUGGUUAGAAAAAAGAAAAAGCUGUAUUGUAAUAUAAUUUAAAAAUGUAACUUGGGGUAUCCCUGGGUGAC